rnacentral:tRNA from 1 species
CUAGUGAUAGCUUAAAAGUAAAGCUCGGAAUUCUUACUUCCGUGAUGUCCUUUGGACUCAAUAGG